UGAGUACGAGAGGCUACGGCCUCGAAGCAGUCUAUGUCAUACUUCCAAGAAAAGCUUGCAAUGUCAUAAACAAAUAAUGCCUGUACCAUAACCGACACAGGUGGGUAGGUAGAGUAUACUAAGGGGCGCGAGAUAACUCUCUCUAAGGAACUCGGCAAAAUGACUCCGUAACUUCGGGAGAAGGAGUGCCUUAUUUAUAAGGUUGCAAUAACAAGAUCCAAGCAACUGUUUACCAAAAACACAGGUCUCCGCUAAGUCGUAAGACGAUGUAUGGGGGCUGACGCCUGCCCAGUGCCAGAAGGUUAAAGAAGUUGGUUAGCAUUAGCGAAGCUGAUAACUGAAGCCCUGGUGAACGGCGGCCGUAACGAUAACGGUCCUAAGGUAGCGAAAUUCCUUGUCGGGUAAGUUCCGACCCGCACGAAAGGCGUAAUGAUUUGGAUACUGUCUCGGAGAGAGGCUCGGUGAAAUAGACUUGUCUGUGAAGAUGCGGACUACCUGCACCUGGACAGAAAGACCCUAUGAAGCUUUACUGUAACUUGAAAUUGAAAUUGGACUUUAUUUGCGCAGUAUAGGUGGGAGGCGUUGAGAGUAUUCUUGCGGGAAUAUUGGAGCCAUCAGUGAGAUACCACUCUUGUAAUGUUAGAUUUCUAACUUUGGAUCAUUAUCUGGUCAAAGGACAGUUUCAGGCGGGCAGUUUGACUGGGGCGGUCGCCUCCCAAACGGUAACGGAGGCGUACAAAGGUUUCCUCUGAACGGGUAGAAAUCGUAUCUAGAGUGUAAAGGCAUAAGGAAGCUUGACUGUGAGACCUACAAGUCGAGCAGGGACGAAAGUCGGUCUUAGUGAUCUGACGGUGCUGAGUGGAAAGGCCGUCACUCAACGGAUAAAAGUUACUCUAAGGAUAACAGGCUGAUCUCCCCCAAGAGUUCACAUCGACGGGGAGGUUUGGCACCUCGAUGUCGGCUCAUCGCAUCCUGGGGCGGUAGUACGUCCCAAGGGUUGGGCUGUUCGCCCAUGAAAGCGGUACGCGAGCUGGGUUCAGAACGUCGUGAGACAGUUCGGUCCAUAUCCGGUGUAGGCGUUAGAAUAUUGAGAGGAGCCUUCUUUAGUACGAGAGGACCGAGAAGGACAUACCUCUGGUGUACCAGUUAUCGUGCCAACGGUAAACGCUGGGUAGCUAUGUAUGGAGAGGAUAACCGCUGAAAGCAUCUAAGUGGGAAGCCCACCUCAAGAUAAGUAUUCUCAU
rnacentral:rRNA from 1 species